CAACUAUCCGCUGUGCUCUGAAGUCAUCUCCCAAUGAAUCAAUAACCCACCUCUGGAAAUCGACUUGUAAUCAUACUAACACCCAAUAUGAUCAGUAUACGUCGACUUUUAUAAACAGUGUUUUUAAUCACCUUUUCAACGCAGAACAAAUACCAUAUAUACCAUUAUACCAUAUAUACCAUAAAUACCAUAUAUACCAUUAUAUCAUAAGUCAUAACAAAUGGCUUUAUUGUAAUAGUCAUGAACCGUCGUGCUAUAUGCAAUAUCAGAAAGUUUCGCUGAAUAGUCGAAUUAAUUCUAUACAUUUCCAUAUGUUCAAACAUCUACCUGUUGUUGUAGCCGAUGUUGGAGGAAGCGAUGUUGUCGUCACAUUUUCUCUUGGUAGAUUCGUCGUUGCUUGAAAUGUUAUAGGAAAACUGUU